rnacentral:rRNA from 1 species
UACGUAGGGGGCAAGCGUUGUCCGGAUUUAUUGGGCGUAAAGAGCUCGUAGGCGGUUUGGUAAGUCAGGUGUGAAAUCUCCACGCUCAACGUGGAGGGGCCACCUGAUACUGCCAUGACUGGAGUCCGGUAGAGGAGUGUGGAAUUCCCGGUGUAGCGGUGAAAUGCGCAGAUAUCGGGAGGAACACCCGUAGCGAAGGCGGUUGCCUGGAGCUUUGCUGACGCUGAUGCGCGAAAGCGUGGGGAGCGAUCCGG